GGUGAGUAACACGUGGGCAAUCUGCCCUGCACUCUGGGAUAAGCCUGGGAAACUGGGUCUAAUACCGGAUAGGAGCCAUCUUUAGUGUGGUGGUUGGAAAGUUUUUUCGGUGUAGGAUGAGCUCGCGGCCUAUCAGCUUGUUGGUGGGGUAAUGGCCUACCAAGGCGGCGACGGGUAGCCGGCCUGAGAGGGUGUACGGCCACAUUGGGACUGAGAUACGGCCCAG
rnacentral:rRNA from 1 species